GAGGGCGGGUCCGUGGCGGCGCUGAGGCCGGCUUUUGGAGACCUCGUAUUGUCUCGCUCCGUUCCCCCCAGCCCCCUUUUGCAGACGAGCAACGUCCCGAAGGUCCCAAAGUCAGUAAACUGCAGCAGUGAGAGCCGAGCUCGGUUCGUCUAAGAUAAUUUUCAGGAAAACGUGAAAUCCUAAUUCUCAUUUGGGUUUUAAGUAGGGAGAAGUGAUAAAGGCUUUAUUUCUACUCGUUAAUCAGAGAAGCAAGCAGCCAGACGUUAAAACCAGUUCAAAGAGAAUAGAAAAGGAGACCCGUUUAUAGAUGAGGCGCAUUGAAAUGAACGUACUUUGAACUUGAUGAGGCCCCAAGCGUCCAUAAACCUUGAGCAUGGCGUGAUGAUUCAAGCUGUGGAAUUUGAGCCCGGGGCCACACUGCCGGGAGGACAGGCCAUCGUGGAGCAGGGGACAGCAAUCCACGGGGAGGACAGGGAUUGCAAAGUGCUGGGGAGUUCGCCAGGAGAAGGGGGAGCAGGGCCACAAAAGUCACUCCAGCUGUGAUCAGGUAAAAACACAGGAGUCGAGUUGCGAGCGGUGAUCACGUGCACAUUGUCAUACUUUACCCUCGCUAAUGAGCUGGUCCAAAGGGGCUCUCGCGUUGACACGCUUCCAUGCACCCGCUGGGUGUUUGUUCCUGAGCCACGAACUUCUAGAUCGUAAGUGUCGUGUACAUCCCGGGCUGCCCUGGUGUUUGCUUCUCAGAGGGCAAGAAGCAACAGGCUGUCCACAGACUGAGACUUUAUAUCAUCUGAAUAAUACUGUGUAGUUCUCCACGCAGACAUCCUACACGCCUACUGGUAGAUUUGCUCCUGUAGGUAAAUGGCAGGUAGAGGUGGCAUUUUGGAUGGGUUACAGGUGGGUGACGGGUGGCUGCAAAUUCACUUCCUCUACUCCCAACAAAGGAGGGAGUCUGUGACCCACUCCUUCUCUGGGCUGACCGGUGGUUAAGUAGCUGUGGGAGGGCUUCUCGGUCUAGGUCUCCAGAGGGCUUGGAGAUUCCGCGCCUGCCCUCUCGGCCCCUGUGCUGAGAGCACCGUGCUGUAAAGAAGCCUGGCACUCACGUGAGGCUGACAGCCACCCUGCCAUCCUGAGGCCCCCAGAAGCGCCCAGCCAACCUGCAGACUCACGAGAAACAACGAAGUGUGCGUCUUUCAGGAUACUGAGUUUUUUAGGUGGUUUGUUAUCUUACGAUGGAUAAUGCAUCCAGCAUUUUUAUUUAGAGAGCAGGGG